GUAGGUGGCAAGCGUUGUCCGGAAUUAUUGGGCGUAAAGCGCGCGCAGGCGGUCCUUUAAGUCUGAUGUGAAAGCCCACGGCUCAACCGUGGAGGGUCAUUGGAAACUGGGGGACUUGAGUACAGAAGAGGAAAGCGGAAUUCCAAGUGUAGCGGUGAAAUGCGUAGAGAUUUGGAGGAACACCAGUGGCGAAGGCGGCUUUCUGGUCUGUAACUGACGCUGAGGCGCGAAAGCGUGGGGAGCAAACAGGGAUUAGAUACCCUGGUAGUCCACGCCGUAAACGAUGAGUGCUAAGUGUUAGGGGGUCUCGCCCCCUUAGUGCUGCAGCUAACGCAUUAAGCACUCCGCCUGGGGAGUACGGCCGCAAGGCUG
rnacentral:rRNA from 1 species